ACUCGGAAUAUUUCGAAAAAAUAGCAAAAAUGGGAUGAGAAUGAUUAAAUCCGAGCUAUAAACUUACAAAUCUUGAGGGAAAACAUGUGGAUCUGAAGGAGAAGACCACCUGGGAUUUUUAGAGAGAGAAAGGAGGAAUUUUGAAAGAGUUUGGGGGAAAAACGAAUGCUGUAACCAGAUAUAAAAGACGCGGCACAGUGUUUUGUACCGGUACACGGUAUUUUGUACCAAUACACUUUCACAGAUUUCGAAAAUUUUAAAAAUUUUCAUCAAAAAAAUCUCUCAAAAUCAAAUUAAUUUCAUAAAGAUUAAAGAUUAUACUCCACAAAUCAUUAU
rnacentral:lncRNA from 1 species